CCUACGGGAGGCAGCAGUGGGGAAUAUUGCACAAUGGGGGAAACCCUGAUGCAGCGACGCCGCGUGAGCGAUGAAGUAUUUCGGUAUGUAAAGCUCUAUCAGCAGGGAAGAAAAUGACGGUACCUGACUAAGAAGCACCGGCUAACUACGUGCCAGCAGCCGAGGGAAUACGUAGGGGGCAAGCGUUAUCCGGAUUUACUGGGAGUAAAGGGAGCGUAGACGGCGGUGCAAGCCAGAUGUGAAAGCCUGGGGCGCAACCCCGGGACUGCAUUUGGAAAUGUGCUGGUAGAGUGUCGGAGAGGCAGGCGGAAUUCCUAGUGUAGCGGUGAAAUGCGUAGAUAUUAGGAGGAACACCAGUGGCGAAGGCGGCCUGCUGGACGAUGACUGACGUUGAGGCUCGAAAGCGUGGGGAGCAAACAGGAUUAGAUACCCUGGUAGUC
rnacentral:rRNA from 1 species